rnacentral:rRNA from 1 species
AGCGAACGUUUGCGGCGGGCUUAACACAUGCAAGUCGAACGGGCUGUUCCUUCGGGGGCAGUCAGUGGCGCACGGGUGCGUAACACGUAGGUAAUCAACCCUCUGGUUGGGGAUAACACUUCGAAAGGAGUGCUAAUACCCGGUAUGGCGCAGCGGUCUUCGGAUCGCGGCGAGAAAGACCCGNAAGGGUUGCCAGAGGACGAGCCUGCGGCCCAUCAGCUAGUUGGCAGGUAACGGCUCACCAAGGCGAAGACGGGUAGCUGGUCUGAGAGGAUGAUCAGCCACACUGGAACUGAGACACGGUCCAGACUCCUACGGGAGGCAGCAGUGGGGAAUAUUGCGCAAUGGGGCGAAAGCCUGACGCAGCCACGCGCGUGAGCGAUGAA